UUAGAAUUAGUGAAGUCAAUUACUCUCAUUCAACGUUCUGCUUGUAAAUGCAUUUACAGGGAUGGCAAAUCCAGCUUCAACUUCUGAGACCAUUGCUACUAACUACGAUGUAUUUCUGAGUUUCAGGGGUGAAGACACGCGUCAUGGAUUCACAGGUCAUCUCUAUGAUGCUCUCUGCCGCAACGGAAUCAACACCUUCAUCGAUGAUGAGAAUCUCAGAACAGGAGAAACAAUUCGACCUCAACUCCUUCAUUCCAUUGAAGCCUCAAAGAUCUCCAUUAUUGUUUUCUCAACAAACUAUGCAGCUUCAACAUGGUGCCUUGAUGAACUCGUCCAGAUCCUUCGGUGUCACAGGGAAAGGAACCAACUUGUGUUUCCGGUCUUCUACAAAGUAGAGCCCUCAGAUGUACGGCAUCGGAGGAACACUUACAAGGAAGCCAUGGAUGCUCAUGAAAUCAGGUUUGGUUGUCAUUCUCAGAAGGUGAAAGAAUGGAAGGAAGCUUUAGCUGAAACAUCCAACAGGAAAGGCUUUCAUUUGAAACAAGGGUAUGAAUUCAAGUUUAUUCAAGAAAUUGUAGGCAAGGCAUUGACUCAUAUACCUCCAAGACAAUUACUUAUUGAGGAUCAUAUGGUUGGAUUGCAAACUCGAGUUGUAGAAGUGAAGUCACAUCUAUAUUCUUGGCACAGGAGAUUAUCCAGUAGCGAAUCACCCAAAACAAAGUUCUAUAAUAACAAUACCAUGUUGGGGAUUGUUGGAAUUGGUGGGAGUGGAAAGACGACGCUUGCCAAAGCCUUGUAUAACUCCAUCUGCGACCAGUUUGAAUGUGCUUGUUUUCUUUUCAAUAUUAGAAAAAUUUCAGAUCAAGAAGAGGGCCUAGUACUUCUACAGAAAAUGCUCCUCUCAGAAUUGCUUGGGGAGGAGAAAAUCAAGGUCCGCAGUGUUGAGAAAGGAAUCACUAUGAUCAAAGAGACAAAGAGAUUAUUGUUCUUGACGAUGUUGAUAAGACAGAACAAUUAAAGGCAUUGGCAGGAGAAUGUGAUUGGUUUAGUCAGGGGACUCGAAUUGUUAUAACAACAAGGGAUAAAUAUCUUCUAACAGCUCAUGAAAUCGAAAAGAUUUACGAGAUGAAAUUGCUAAGUGACCCUGAAUCUCUACUGCUCUUCUGUUGGAACGCCUUCAAAAUGACAAGGCCCAAAGCAAACUAUGAAGACCUAUCCAAUCAAGCAAUACAUUAUGCCCAGGGUCUCCCAUUAGCCUUAAAGGUUAUAGGGUCGAAUUUGAUUAAUAAAAAUUUAGAAGAGUGGAAGUCUGCUUUGGACAAAUAUGAGAAGAAUCCUCCUAAAGACAUUCAAAGUGUUCUUAGAGUAAGCUAUGAUAGUCUUGAAGGCAAUGAAAAGGAUAUUUUUCUUGACAUAGCAUGCUUCUUCAAUGGGAAGAAAUGGGAAUAUGUAAAAAAUGUAUUAGAUGGAUGUGGUAUGUUUACAGAAGAUGGUAUUAGAAUACUAGUUGAUAAAUCUCUCGUAACUAUCAAAGAUGGUUAUUUGAGGAUGCAUGAUCUAAUACAGAAUAUGGGUAGGGAGAUUGUGAAGCAGGAGGCACCAAAAGAAGUUAGUGACCGCAGCAGAUUAUGGUUUCAUGAAGAUGUUCUUGAGCUACUACCCGAUGAUAAAGAAAAUAAAAGAAUUGAAGGAAUAAAGCUUGUUCAAUGUGAAGAACAUAAUUGGACUGACAAUGCCUUUGAAAAGAUGAAGAAACUUAGAAUUCUCAUUCUUCGGAACACAAACCUUUCAUGUCGGAUUAUUCCUCUACCCGAGCAAUUAAGGCUGCUUGAUUGGAAGGGGUACCCUUCAAAUUCUAUUCCGUCGAACUUAAAAAAAAUUGUUGCCUUCAGUUUACGUCAUAGUCCUCUCAUGUUGGAAAAGCCGUUUCAG